GUUCCUAUUCGGCCAUCUUGGCUCCUGGAUCUCUGUGUCAACCUUCUUUUAUUUUUAAAAGAUAUUCACUGUCUCUUACUAAAGCUUCCUGUUCAAAGUCUGGCUGAGAAUUUUUGCUGCUUCUUUCCCUACCUCCUCAUUUCCGAAGGCUGGAGUGCAGUGGCAUGAUCUGGGCUCACUGCAACCUUCGCGUCCUGGGUUCAAGCGAUUCUCUCGCCUCAGCCUCCUGAGUAGCGGGAACUACAGAAUCAGCUACCCUGCUGAUCUGGAGGCCUUUGGGGACAUGAACUCUUGUAGCAGGAAUCAAAGAACUGGUGUAAGAAAACGAAUAGCAGAGCCAUAGUGUUUUAUCCCCUCUCUGCACUCCCCAAAUUAGACUGCUUGUUUAUUGAAAUUGGUCAAACAGUUUAAUUAGCAUUCCAUGUUUGUUAUUUCUUUAAUCGAGGUUUCAAACAGAACAAGGCAACAAGCCAGGCCAGUAAUGAGUCUCCUCCACCUACUCUUAAGUUAAAUACUUGCUGAGAUUCCCAUUGGUUUCCCAGAGACAUCUCAUCACUGAUGUACUUUCACUUAUCAACA
rnacentral:lncRNA from 10 species